UAGUGGUGUCAUGGUCAUUUGUUGACCGCUCAUACGACCCCUGCAAUUGCAUUGCAGCUUAUGUGGGGGUCGUAUAACGGUUAACAGAGACCCUUGACAUCAAAGA
rnacentral:pre_miRNA from 2 species